rnacentral:tRNA from 1 species
GGCGGGAUGGCAGAGUGGUCAUGCAGCGGCCUGCAAAGCCGUGGACGCCGGUUCGAUUCCGACUCCCGCCUUCA